GUUGAUUUUGCCGGGGAUCACUGCUAUUGGAGUUCGCUUAAGCCAUGCGAGUUGAGAGGGUUCGGUUUUUGGUAUAUGGCUCAGUAACACGUGGAUAAUCUGUCCUGAGGUGGGGGAUGGGUUUGGGAAAUUGAGGAUAAUAUUCCAUAGAUUAGGUGUUUUGGAAUGUUUUUUGGUUUGAAGUUUUGGCGCCUCAGGAUGAGUCUGCGGCCUAUCAGGUUGUAGUGAGUGUAGUGGACUCAUUAGUUGAUGAUGGGUAUGGGUAGUGGGAGUUGUUGUUUGGAGAUGGACUCUGAGGUAUGAGUCCAGGCCCUAUGGGGUGUAGUAGGUGUGAAAAUUUUAUAAUGUGGGAAAUUGUGAUGAGGGAACUCCAAGUGUCUAGGUGGUGUUUAGACUGUUUUCUAGUUUAGAAAACUAGGAGAGUAAGGGCUGGGUAGGACUGGUGUUAGUUGUUGUGGUAAUACCUGCAGCUCGAGUGGUGAUCCUUUUUAUUGGGUUUAAAGCGUCCGUAGCCGGUCUAGUAAAUCCUUGGGUAAAUUGUACUGUUUGGUGGUAUGAAUUUUGGGGAGAUUGCUAGACUUGGGACUGGGAGAGGUCGGAGGUACUCCAGGGGUAGGGGUGGGGUUUUGUAAUUCCUGGGGGACCAUUAGUGGUGAAGGUGUUUGAUUAGAAUGGAUUUGAUGGUGAGGGAUGAAGCCGUGGGGCACAAAUUGGAUUGGAUAUUUGGGUAGUCCACGGUGUAAAUGUUGUGAGUUUGGUGUUGGGGGUCCUAUGAGGGCGCCCAGUGCCGGAGAGAAGUUGUUAAGCUCGCCGUUUGGGGAGUACGGUCGUAAGACUGAAAUUUAAAGGAAUUGGCGGGGGAGCAUUGUAACGGGUGGAGCGUGCGGUUCAAUUGGAUUCAGUGUUGGAAAAUUUAUUGGAGGUGAUUGUUAUAUGAAGGUUAAGUUGAUGAUUUUAUUUGAUUUUUAGAGAGGUGGUGCAUGGCCGCCGUCAGUUCGUACCGUAAGGUGUUCUGUUAAGUCAGAUAACGAACGAGACCCCAUCUCUUAAUUGUUAUACUGGUCUUUGGAUCAGUGGAACAUUAAGAGAACCGCUGGCGUUAAGUCAGAGGAAGGUGGGGCAACGGUAGGUCAGUAUGCCUCGAAUCCUCCGGGUUACACGCGCGCUACAAAGGAUAGGAUAAUGGAUUCCGACAUCGAAAGAUGAAGGUAAUUUUGAAAUCUAUUCGUAGUCCGGAUUGAGGGCUGUAGUUUGCCCUUAUGAAGCUGGAAUCCUUAGUAAUCGUGGGUUAAUAUUCCACGGUGAAUAUGCCCUUGCUCCUUGUAUAUAUUGCCCGUCAAACCAUCUGAGUAGGGUGGGAAUGAGGGUUCGUUUUGUUGGUGAAUUCGAAUUCCUGUUCUGCAAGGAGGGUUAAGUUGUAAUAAGGUA
rnacentral:rRNA from 1 species